rnacentral:rRNA from 1 species
GGGUUGUGAGGUUAAGCGACUAAGCGUACACGGUGGAUGCCCUGGCAGUCAGAGGCGAUGAAGGACGUGCUAAUCUGCGAUAAGCGCCGGUAAGGUGAUAUGAACCGUUAUAACCGGCGAUUUCCGAAUGGGGAAACCCAGUGUGACUCGUCACACUAUCAUUAACUGAAUCCAUAGGUUAAUGAGGCGAACCGGGGGAACUGAAACAUCUAAGUACCCCGAGGAAAAGAAAUCAACCGAGAUUCCCCCAGUAGCGGCGAGCGAACGGGGAGGAGCCCAGAGCCUGAAUCAGCAUGUGUGUUAGUGGAAGCGUCUGGAAAGGCGCGCGAUACAGGGUGACAGCCCCGUACACAAAAGCGCAUGUGUUGUGAGCUCGAUGAGUAGGGCGGGACACGUGGUAUCCUGUCUGAAUAUGGGGGGACCAUCCUCCAAGGCUAAAUACUCCUGACUGACCGAUAGUGAACCAGUACCGUGAGGGAAAGGCGAAAAGAACCCCGGCGAGGGGAGUGAAAAAGAACCUGAAACCGUGUACGUACAAGCAGUGGGAGCCCCACCACUAAGCCAGUGGUGAACUCCACAUACGCAUCCUUUGCUGAAGGUGCGGUUAACGGAGCGCAAGCGACGUUCAACCUCAAAAGAAGCAGAGGGGGCUUAGUGGUGGGGUGACUGCGUACCUUUUGUAUAAUGGGUCAGCGACUUAUAUUCUGUAGCAAGGUUAACCGCAUAGGGGAGCCGGAGGGAAACCGAGUCUUAAUUGGGCGUUAAGUUGCAGGGUAUAGACCCGAAACCCGGUGAUCUAGCCAUGGGCAGGUUGAAGGUUGGGUAACACUAACUGGAGGACCGAACCGACUAAUGUUGAAAAAUUAGCGGAUGACCUGUGGCUGGGGGUGAAAGGCCAAUCAAACCGGGAGAU